rnacentral:rRNA from 1 species
UACGUAGGGUGCAAGCGUUGUCCGGAAUUAUUGGGCGUAAAGAGCUCGUAGGCGGUUUGUCGCGUCUGCUGUGAAAACUGGAGGCUCAACCUCCAGCCUGCAGUGGGUACGGGCAGACUAGAGUGUGGUAGGGGAGACUGGAAUUCCUGGUGUAGCGGUGAAAUGCGCAGAUAUCAGGAGGGAACACCGGUGGCGAAGGCGGGUCUCUGGGCCGUAACUGACGCUGGAGGAGCGAAAGCAUUGGGGAGCGAAC